rnacentral:misc_RNA from 1 species
CAACCCUCAAGCAAUGCUUGGUAUUGGGCUCCGCUGCUCACCCAGCCGGCCUUAAAAUCAGUGGCGGUGCCGUUGGGCCCUGAGCGUAGUAAACAUCCUCGCUAUAGGGACCCGGUGGACACUAGCCAUCAACCCCCAUUUUCCAAGU